GUUUAUGGCUACUAAUGACUUGAUGACAGAACUACAGAAAGAUUCUAUCAAGCUGGAUGAUGACAGUGAAAGAAAGGUGGUGAAGAUGAUUUUGAAACUACUGGAAGAUAAAAAUGGUGAGGUGCAAAACUUAGCUGUCAAAUGCCUUGGCCCUUUGGUGAGUAAAGUGAAGGAGUAUCAAGUGGAGACCAUCGUAGAUACCCUCUGUACAAACAUGCUUUCAGAUAAAGAACAGUUACGUGACAUUUCAAGCAUUGGCCUUAAAACUGUGAUUGGAGAACUCCCCCCAGCUUCCAGUGGUUCUGCAUUAGCGGCUAAUGUUUGUAAAAAGAUCACAGGGCGUCUCACUAGUGCUAUAGCCAAGCAGGAAGAUGUGUCUGUUCAACUGGAGGCGCUGGAUAUCAUGGCUGAUAUGCUGAGCAGGCAAGGAGGACUGCUUGUUAACUUCCAUCCUUCAAUUCUGACCUGUCUGCUCCCCCAGCUGACUAGCCCCAGACUUGCUGUGAGGAAAAGAACCAUCAUUGCUCUUGGUCACCUGGUUAUGAGUUGUGGCAAUAUGGUUUUUGUUGACCUCAUUGAACAUCUGUUGACAGAGCUGUCUAAAAAUGAUUCCAUGUCAACAACUAGGACCUAUAUACAGUGUAUUGCUGCUAUCAGUAGGCAAGCAGGUCAUAGAAUAGGUGAAUAUCUCGAGAAAAUAAUUCCUUUGGUUGUAAAGUUUUGUAAUGUAGAUGAUGAUGAACUACGAGAGUAUUGCAUUCAAGCUUUUGAAUCCUUUGUUAGGAGAUGUCCUAAAGAAGUUUAUCCUCAUGUAUCUACUAUUAUAAACAUUUGUCUUAAAUAUCUUACCUAUGAUCCUAAUUACAAUUAUGAUGAUGAAGAUGAAGAUGAAAAUGCUAUGGAUGCUGAUGGUGGUGAUGAUGAUGAUCAAGGGAGCGAUGAUGAAUAUAGUGAUGAUGAUGACAUGAGCUGGAAAGUGAGGCGCGCAGCUGCUAAAUGUCUGGAUGCAGUGGUUAGCACACGACAUGAAAUGCUUCCAGAAUUCUACAAAACUGUAUCUCCUGCUUUAAUAGCCAGAUUCAAAGAACGUGAAGAGAACGUUAAAGCAGAUGUUUUUCAUGCAUAUCUUUCUCUUUUAAAACAAACUCGACCUGUGCAAAGUUGGCUUUGUGAUCCUGAUGCAAUGGAACAAGGAGAGACACCUUUGACAAUGCUUCAGAGUCAGGUCCCCAACAUAGUUAAAGCCUUGCACAAACAGAUGAAGGAGAAAAGUGUGAAGACUCGUCAGUGUUGCUUUAACAUGCUGACUGAGCUAGUAAAUGUAUUACCUGGAGCUCUAACACAACAUGUUCCUGUACUUGUACCAGGAAUAAUUUUUUCACUGAAUGACAAAUCAAGUUCUUCUAAUCUGAAGAUAGAUGCUUUGUCCUGUUUGUAUGUGAUCCUCUGCAAUCAUUCUCCCCAAGUCUUUCAUCCUCAUGUUCAAGCAUUGGUACCUCCAGUUGUAGCUUGUGUUGGAGAUCCAUUUUACAAGAUAACAUCAGAGGCACUUUUGGUUACCCAACAACUUGUGAAGGUCAUUCGUCCUUUAGACCAGCCUUCUUCCUUUGAUGCUACUCCUUACAUCAAAGAUUUGUUUACUUGUACAAUCAAGAGAUUAAAGGCUGCUGACAUUGAUCAGGAGGUGAAAGAAAGGGCAAUAUCUUGCAUGGGUCAAAUCAUUUGUAGCCUUGGUGACAGCCUAGGCACAGAUCUGCCUAGUACACUUCAGAUCUUCCUAGAGAGACUGAAGAAUGAGAUCACUCGGUUAACUACAGUGAAGGCCAUGACAUUGAUUGCUGGUUCUCCUCUGAAGAUAGAUUUGAGACCAAUCCUUGGGGAAGGAGUUCCUAUUCUUGCUUCUUUUUUGAGAAAGAACCAGCGAGCUUUGAAACUAGGCACUCUUUCUGCUCUAGAUAUUUUAAUUAAGAAUUACAGUGACAGCUUGACAGCUGCCAUGAUUGAUGCUGUCCUGGAUGAGCUUCCACCUCUGAUUAGUGAAAGUGAUAUGCAUGUAUCACAGAUGGCCAUCAGUUUUCUGACGACACUGGCUAAAGUAUAUCCUUCUUCCCUGUCAAAGAUUAGUGGGUCCAUUCUCAAUGAACUUAUUGGGCUGGUGAGAUCACCUCUGCUUCAGGGUGGAGCACUUAGUGCCAUGCUAGAAUUUUUCCAAGCUUUGGUUGUGACUGGUACAAAUAACUUAGGCUAUAUGGAUUUACUGCGCAUGUUAACGGGUCCAGUCUACUCGCAGAGCACAGCACUUACUCACAAGCAGUCUUACUAUUCCAUUGCCAAAUGUGUUGCUGCCCUUACUCGAGCCUGCCCUAAGGAAGGACCGGCUGUUGUAGGUCAGUUCAUUCAAGAUGUCAAGAACUCAAGGUCCACAGAUUCCAUUCGGCUUUUGGCUUUGCUUUCUCUUGGGGAAGUUGGGCAUCACAUUGACUUAAGUGGACAAAUUGAGCUGAAGUCUGUAAUAUUAGAAGCAUUCUCUUCUCCUAGUGAGGAAGUCAAAUCAGCGGCAUCUUACGCAUUAGGCAGUAUUAGUGUUGGCAAUCUUCCUGAGUAUCUGCCAUUUGUCUUACAAGAAAUAACCAGUCAACCUAAGAGGCAAUACCUUCUUCUUCAUUCCUUGAAAGAAAUAAUUAGCUCUGCAUCAGUGAUUGGUCUCAAACCAUAUGUUGAGAACAUCUGGGCCUUACUCCUGAAACACUGCGAAUGUGCAGAAGAGGGUACAAGGAACGUUGUUGCUGAAUGCUUGGGCAAGCUUACGUUAAUAGACCCAGAGACUCUGCUUCCACGACUCAAGGGAUACUUGGCAUCAGGGUCCUCGUAUGCUCGAAGUUCAGUGGUUACUGCUGUUAAGUUCACUAUUUCUGAUCAUCCACAACCCAUAGACCCACUCUUGAAGAACUGCAUAGGUGAUUUUCUGAAAACGCUGGAGGACCCAGAUCUCAAUGUCAGGAGAGUAGCCCUAGUGACAUUUAACUCAGCUGCACACAAUAAACCAUCAUUAAUAAGGGACCUCUUAGAUACUGUGCUUCCUCAUCUUUACAAUGAAACAAAAGUCAGAAAGGAAUUAAUCAGAGAGGUGGAAAUGGGACCAUUUAAGCAUACAGUUGAUGAUGGGUUGGACAUAAGGAAAGCCGCUUUUGAGUGCAUGUAUACUCUUCUGGAUAGCUGUUUGGAUAGACUAGAUAUAUUUGAAUUCUUAAACCAUGUUGAAGAUGGCCUGAAGGAUCACUAUGAUAUUAAGAUGCUAACCUUUUUAAUGUUGGUGAGACUGUCUACCCUUUGUCCAAGCGCAGUGCUGCAGAGGUUGGAUAGGCUUGUUGAACCUUUGCGUGCUACGUGUACAACUAAGGUAAAGGCAAACUCGGUGAAACAGGAGUUUGAAAAGCAAGAUGAACUGAAACGUUCUGCUAUGAGGGCAGUAGCAGCGCUUCUAACCAUUCCAGAAGCAGAGAAGAGUCCAUUAAUGAGUGAAUUUCAGUCACAGAUAAGCUCUAACCCUGAGCUGGCAGCCAUCUUUGAAAGUAUCCAAAAAGAUUCAUCAUCCACUAACUUGGAAUCAAUGGACACUACUUAGAUGUUUGUCCAAAAUGGGGACCAUUAUGUUGAACCAUAUGAUGCACUGAAUUGACAGGUUAUGAGUAAGAAACAGAAAAAGUAUCUAAUCUACACAUUGUUCCACUUUAUUUACCUUUAUGGAGACAGUUGGCUUUUCCCAUUGUUGCUUUUCUAGCAUUUAUUCCAGAAAUGUAUUUCCAUAAUCCAGAGUUUGUUAACCACUCUCGUUUUAGUGGAUUUGGCCACAUUUGGGAAUCAAAAAGUUGACGCAUGGUGUAUGGAAAUUUAGGUUCCAACAUCCAUUUGCCCUGUAAUGUUUAGGAUUAAAAUGUCAAAAUUUUGUGACCAUGAUUUUUUUUUUCUUUUAUUCACUCUUUCUACUUGUAAACAAAAAAGGGGGGGAGGUGGGAAUCAAGCAUCCAGGUGCACCAUGUUUUUGUAUAACUUUUUAUUCUUUUUUGUUUCAGCUUCAUAAAUUGGUUUGGCUGGCAGAUGAAUUCUGUGUAAGAUUUAUUAUAUUAAAGAGAGGAUAUGGGCACAGUUCAAAAAAAGCAGACAUAAAUGUCAUUUUUUAAAGGUGUGGGGAUUAGAAAACAAAUACCCCUGUUGUGCACACUAAUUUUGCAUGAGCGAGUUUACAAAUAUAUAUUGUCUGUAAAACAGCAUGUGCAGUUUAUUCGUAAUGCAAGUUAAAGUAAGUUCUACUGUAUCAGUGCAGUUUUCAGGUAUUUUGACAUACAGACCAUUCAUACAGAAAAGGAUGAAUGAAGGUUGGUUGUCUUAACCUGGCUUUUUUAAAUGCCGGUGGUAUGACCCUGCAGAUGUUCUUACAGUAAAUUUGACAAUUCCUGCAGUUUUCAUGGUUUUUCAUUCCCAAAGGCUGGAUCCCCUGGAAUUAAGGUGGACAAACCGAAGAUCGGAGGGAAAUAGGAUGAGAUGGAGGUAAAAUGAGCAGAGAACAACAAUAGCUGCUCAGUGGCUCCUAAGCUUUGGAUUCAACUUUGUUUUUGUUAUAAAAGUAUGAAAGGAAGUUUCUUCAGUGGCUGCUACCUCCUAUUCUUCAUCCAACAGCUUUUUGUUAAGGCACUAAUAUAUGGUGUCACCUAGACAAGUAUUGCCAGACCAUCAUUUUGUGCCUGUCAGAAUGUUUUCUGGCACAUGGAACCACCAGUAGAUUGCAGUGCUGCAAGUGUCAUAUGGUAUUCUGGUGAGAUAGGAAACAGGGAAUGGUCAUCAGACUGGGGCAAGAUAGAAAGCAAACAGAUACAAGAAAAAAUCUGCCAUGAAUAUGCUGAAGUAAUCUAGAAGCGGACCAGAAGGUGAUAGCUGGCAGUCCCGCAAUGAACUGGAUUUGGGAAAUUAAUAGCAAAAGAUGGGGAACCGCUGCCUCAAAUUGAGACUUGUCGUUACUUGGUUAAUGCAAUUGCUUAGUUGUCUUUUUUUUUUAGUCAGAUCUGAAUUUGAUUUUUCUCUAGUUAACUAGUAUUUUUUAGCUAGUUUGAUAUUUUGGGAACCUGUUACAUGGAUACCUGGCAUAAGCUGCUACAUGAGUAAACAAACAUACAUUUUUAUGACCUCAGAGACAGUUUCCUGUGAGCACUGGUGUUUCGGGGGCAAAUUCUUCACCUUAUGCGCUUGCAGCUUGGGAAAAGCAGGGGAGAUAUUGGUGCAUUUUACUUUAAUAAAAGGACCUGAAUGAAGAAAUCUAUGAACUCAUUCAGUAGUAACAAUUUUAAUGCUGUAGAAAUUUUUGAAAUUGUAGCUUUCUGUCUCCAAACUCUUCAUACUAAUGUAACAAUUGUCUUCUAGAAGUAGAAAUAAACGAGAUUAAACGUACCAACAUAUCUAAAUGUCAUGAAAAAGAAUGGGAUAACUCGAGAGAGAAACCAUAUGGUAGAAAAAGCACCGUGAAUUAGGUGCAUUUUAUGUUGCUGUAUAACUCAUCUACUUCAAUUACAGCAAUAUACAGGCCUCCUAAUUAAGAAUCCGUUGUGCUAAUUAAUUGUCAAACUAAUCUUAGAACUUUUGCGUUAAGUUUUCAGAGUGUGUUAAAAUGUUUUAUAGACGUAAAGGUAGGUGUGAGAAUGGUAUGAUAAACAUGAAAUGUGAGGCCAAAAUAUGUAAAUGGAGUAGGUGACAAUGGUAAGUAAACAGAAUACUUGUAUUCGUAGUUGGGAGAUUUGUGUGUGUUUAUGUACUACCAUAAAGCCUAACAUGAUGGAUGCAAAUAAUCUUCACUUUGUUUUACAGUAUAUUACAGUGGAGCAAGCUUAAGGACAGAAGAGAAGGUUGAGCUAUAUUAUUACGUAGUGAAUGCUUUCUUGCAAGAGAGUAAUUUUCACUUUGACCACUGAUGAAGCAGGUGGGAACGUAAGAAUUAAGUCUUCCCUGUUGAAAACCCGUAUCUCUGGGUUGAAUCAUGACUUGCUUACAAAAACCACCUCAUCAUCAAGACUAGAAGUGUGGAACUGAAGCUGCAGAUGGACGAGAUGGUUGAUUUUAGUACCUGGGCAGGGGGCAGCGAAAGUGAAACAUUAAACUCUGUGCUGCUUUCUCACAUGGUACCAAUCUUGGCAUAUAAAAAGGAUGGGAACGAAGAAGGUCCAUUGGCACGUUUAGGCACUUCUAUAGAAGGAGGUCAAGAGCAGCACUGCAAAAUAUAAUGAAUUUUCUUUGGUCAAAGUGGUUUGUAUUUGCUGUCCUGGGGUGCAGUGAGGGUCCAUGGUUGUGUGUAGUAUGGAUGCUGAGCAAAAUACACUGUUGUAAGGUGGGGACAAUAUGGUGCA